ensembl:misc_RNA
GGAUGUUAUUCCUGGGCUGCCCCGUGGAAUCUGCGCUGUAGAAUCAUGUUGCCAAAUGUAUAGGAGCUGUUCAGCCCUUGGAUUCAGUUUUCCUAGUGAUAAUGGCUUUCUGGCUUUUCAUCUAUUAUGAGUGGCUGCUCAUUACAAUACUGUCUCCUUGCUUGUGGCAAA